rnacentral:antisense_RNA from 1 species
UGCCGCCCCGUGAAGAGAUGCUUUCCACCAUGAUUUUAAGUUUCCUGAGGCCUCCCCAGCCACAUGGAACUAUAUGGCCAACAUAUCUGCUAGAGGGUCUGACGGAGAGAAGAAUUUAAUCGAUGUCUGUUGAAUUUGCUCAAGUAAGUAAAACAGAAAAACUGUUUUAUAAACAGCAACAAAGUGCAGUAGUCAUGCAACCACUAUUUUACUCUUCGAAUCUAUGAUAUUGACCAUUUUUGAUAUCUCAUAUUUGAAGUUUGUGGCAACCCUGUAUCAAGUAAGUCCACUGGUGCCAUUUUUCCAACAGCACAUGCUAACUUCAUGUCUCUGUCACAGUUUAGUAAUUCUUAGAAUAGUUUAAUCUUUUUCAUUAUUAUUACAUCUGUUAUAGUAAUCAUUAUAUCUGAUACAGUGAAUAUAGUGAUAUUAUACUGUUAUAAUCAGUGGUCCCUGAAGCUGGCAGAGGUUGGCUCAUGAGGUGUAAGGAAAAAAGGCAUCUCUAUAACAUAAAAGUGCAAGGUGAAGCAGCAAGUGCUGAUGUAGAAGCGCAGCAAGUUAUCCAGAAGAUGUAGCUAAGAUCACUAGUGAAGGCAGCUAUAAUAAACAACAGAUUUUCAAUAUAGAGAAAACAGCCUUGUAUUUGAAGACAAUGUUAUCUAAGACUUUCACAGCUAAAGAGGAGAAGUUACUGCCUGCUUCAAAGCUUCAAAGACAGGCUGACUUUCUUGUUAGUAGCUAAUGCACUUGGUGACUUUAAGUGGAAGCCAGUGCUCUUUUACCAUUCCAGAAAUCUCAGGGUCCAUAAGAAUUAUGCUAAAUCUACUCUGCUUAUGCUCUGUAAAUGAACAAAGCCUGGAUGACAGCACAUCUGCUUACAGCAUGGUUUACUGAAUAUUUUGAGCCCACUAUUGAAACUUAUGUUAGAAAAAAAUA